UACGUAGGGGGCAAGCGUUGUCCGGAUUUAUUGGGCGUAAAGAGCGUGUAGGCGGCCUGACAGGUCUGCUGUGAAAACUCGAGGCUCAACCUCGAGAUGUCGGCGGAAACCGUCUGGCUAGAGUCCGGAAGAGGAGAGUGGAAUUCCUGGUGUAGCGGUGAAAUGCGCAGAUAUCAGGAAGAACACCUAUUGCGAAGGCAGCUCGCUGGGACGUUACUGACGCUGAGACGCGAAAGCGUGGGGAGCAAACAGG
rnacentral:rRNA from 1 species